rnacentral:rRNA from 1 species
AGUGAACGCUGGCGGUAGGCCUAACACAUGCAAGUCGAACGGCAGCACAGUAAGAGCUUGCUCUUACGGGUGGCGAGUGGCGGACGGGUGAGGAAUACAUCGGAAUCUACUUUUUCGUGGGGGAUAACGUAGGGAAACUUACGCUAAUACCGCAUACGACCUACGGGUGAAAGCAGGGGAUCUUCGGACCUUGCGCGAUUGAAUGAGCCGAUGUCGGAUUAGCCAGUUGGCGGGGUAAAGGCCCACCAAGGCGACGAUCCGUAGCUGGUCUGAGAGGAUGAUCAGCCACACUGGAACUGAGACACGGUCCAGACUCCUACGGGAGGCAGCAGUGGGGAAUAUUGGACAAUGGGCGCAAGCCUGAUCCAGCCAUACCGCGUGGGUGAAGAAGGCCUUCGGGUUUUAAAGCCCUUUUGUUGGGAAAGAAAAGCAGCAGGUUAAUACCCCGCUGUUCUGACGGUACCCAAAGAAUAAGCACCGGCUAACUUCGUG